UGGGGGUUCGGCCGACGGCAGGCCGCCGAGCUUCGGCCUCGGUCACGCGGGUUCGAAUCCUGCACUCCCAGC
rnacentral:tRNA from 1 species